UCUAAAGUACUGCAGAGAUGAAACUUAAAGCAGGAAGCAACAUACCAUGAGUAUACUGGAAGGGAACACAUUUGUGUCAUGUGAAGAGACAUGACAAAAACAGCCCUCCUUAAAUUAUCUGUGGCAAUAGUGAUCACGUUCAUUUUAAUUUUGCCGGAAUAUUUCAAGACACCGAAAGCAUCAUUCUCAAGAAAGAAUGUUCUGAAAAGAAGGAAUAACACUAGAUGGAUAAAUAAACUUUCUGAAAGAACAUUGGAGCUAUCAUGUCUGGAAGUGUGUUUACAAUCUAAUUUUACCUAUUCACUCUCCUCCUUAAAUUUUUCUUUUGUGACUUUUCUGCAACCAGUAAGGGAAACUCAAAUUAUCAUGAGAAUCUUUCUAAAUCCCUCCCAUUUUCAUAAUUUCACCAGGACUUGCCAAGACAUCACAGGUGAAUUUAAAAUGUGCUCCUUGUGUUUGGUUUGUGAGUCUAAAGGAAACAUGGAUUUUAUUUCUCAGGAACAAACAUCAAAAGUUCUUAUCAGGAGAGGAUCAAUGGAAGUGAAAGCAAAUGACUUUCAUUCACCUUGUCAGCAGUUUAACUUCACUGUAGCUCCUCUGGUUGACCACUUGGAGGAAUAUAACACUAACUGUCAUCUAAAAAACCACACUGGAAGAUCAGCAAUCAUGGAGGAUGAGCCAAGCAAGGGGAAACCUAUAAACCAUACCUGUAGAAUCAUGGAAUACCCGAACGAUUGUAUACACGUUUCUUUGCACCUAGAGAUGGAUGUAAAAAAUAUCACUUGUUCCAUGAAGAUCACUUGGUAUAUUUUAGUUCUAUUAGUUUUUAUGUUUUUGAUCAUCCUCACUAUCCGCAAAAUACUUGAAGGCCACAGAAGAGUGCAGAAGUGGCAGAGUGAUAGAGACAAACCUACAUCUGUUCUCUUAAGAGGAAGUGAUUCGGAGAAACUGAGAGCAUUGAAUGUGCAGGUUAUUUCAGCCUCAAGGCAGCCACACUAGCUUUGCGAAAGCCACAGGGAAGUGAUCUUGGUUGUGCAGGUGUCAGUCCCCACUGCCAAAACUUUGAAUGGAACGUGUGGGGCAAGGCCAGGACCCUGCCAGGAUUGGCCGCUUGGCUGCUGCUGCCCACAAGGCUGCACAGGGGCCUCAGCAGAGACCAAGCUGAGGCUGCCUUUGGAUGAAGUCCAGGAAGUGCUUCCCCCAAUACCAGAACUAUAAGUUACUUCCACAGUGUAUCCGUGAGAUCAAUAUACACGAAUAUCCCUGGGCACCUUGGACUGAGCCCUUUGAAGAAUACUCAUAAUUUUAUUUUGUGAAUGAGUAGACUGGAAAAUGUUUGGGUCCAGCUGAGGAUGCACAGUUGGAAAGCAGGAGGAAUGCUGACUGGUUGAUGAAAACUAGCUUACGAGCAUUCAUUUGACCCAUGAGAUCAAGGGAACAAGAGUGUUUGCAAGAAGCCAUUAUGAGUCAUGGAAAACAAGAUGAUGAAACCCAUGGAAACAGCAAGAGAAUUCCUACUCUUUCUCUUCUUAAAAAAAUCUAUCACAUACAGCACAGAAUGGAGUCAAGAUUUUAAUUUUGAGGAACCAAAAAAAAGGAUCAAAUAUGAAAAUGCUUUCUUUUAUUGGGCCACAUUGUAGGUGCUGAUUUGAUAAUUUUUUCCUAUGCAGAUAGAUUAUUUCUAUUUUGUAGAUUAUUUAAGAGGGUCUGGUUGUUUGUUUAUACGUUUGUUUGCAUUUAUGAAUCUUGCUGCCUUUUGGCACCAGGAUGUUUUUAAAAAAAUUCAAAGAGGCCGGGCGCGGUGGCUAAUGCCUGUAAUCCCAGCACUUUGGGAGGCCGAGACAGGAGGAUCACAAAGUCAAGAGAUCGAGAUGAUCUUGGCCAACAUGGUGAAACCCCGCCUCUAUUAAAAAUACAAAAAUUAGCUGGGUGUGGCGGCACGUG